rnacentral:rRNA from 1 species
AUUGAACGCUGGCGGAAUGCUUUACACAUGCAAGUCGAGCGGCAGCGCGGGGGGCAACCCUGGCGGCGAGCGGCGAACGGGUGAGUAAUACAUCGGAACGUGUCCUUCAAGUGGGGGAUAGCUCGGCGAAAGCCGGAUUAAUACCGCAUAAGCUCUGAGGAGGAAAGCGGGGGACUGGUAACGGCCUCGCGCUGUUGGAGCGGCCGAUGUCGGAUUAGCUAGUUGGUGGGGUAAAGGCCCACCAAGGCGACGAUCCGUAGCUGGUCUGAGAGGAUGAUCAGCCACACUGGAACUGAGACACGGUCCAGACUCCUACGGGAGGCAGCAGUGGGGAAUUUUGGACAAUGGGGGCAACCCUGAUCCAGCCAUUCCGCGUGAGUGAAGAAGGCCU